rnacentral:misc_RNA from 1 species
AAAAAAUCCAUUAUCGAAACGAUGAAACAAGCCAAUAGCAAAAUGAAAGAAGCAGGAAUGAACCUCAAAAUUCAACAGACACAGAUAUUCAAAAACCAAAAUUGUUAAUCGAAAACACAUGAAAUCAAUGGGGAAAAGGAAUAAACACAAUUGAACAUGAAAAAUAACAAAAAACCUUAAGCGAAAAGGUUAAACAUGAACUAAAAUGAAAAGAAACUAACCGAG